ensembl:rRNA 5_8S_rRNA 5.8S ribosomal RNA
GACUCUUAGUGCUGGAUCACUCAGCUCUUGUGUCAAUGAAGAACGCAGCUAGCUAUGAGAAUUAAUGUGAAUCGCAGGACACAUUGAUCAUGGACACUUUGAACGCACUUGCGGCCCUGGGUUCCUCCUGGGACUAUGCCUGUCUGAGCAUUG